GCCUUACACAUGCAAGUCGAACGGCAGCACGGGUGCUUGCACCUGGUGGCGAGUGGCGAACGGGUGAGUAAUACAUCGGAACAUGUCCUGUAGUGGGGGAUAGCCCGGCGAAAGCCGGAUUAAUACCGCAUACGAUCUACGGAUGAAAGCGGGGGACCUUCGGGCCUCGCGCUAUAGGGUUGGCCGAUGGCUGAUUAGCUAGUUGGUGGGGUAAAGGCCUACCAAGGCGACGAUCAGUAGCUGGUCUGAGAGGACGACCAGCCACACUGGGACUGAGACACGGCCCAGACUCCUACGGGAGGCAGCAGUGGGGAAUUUUGGACAAUGGGCGAAAGCCUGAUCCAGCAAUGCCGCGUGUGUGAAGAAGGCCUUCGGGUUGUAAAGCACUUUUGUCCGGAAAGAAAUCCUUGGCUCUAAUACAGUCGGGGGAUGACGGUACCGGAAGAAUAAGCACCGGCUAACUACGUGCCAGCAGCCGCGGUAAUACGUAGGGUGCGAGCGUUAAUCGGAAUUACUGGGCGUAAAGCGUGCGCAGGCGGUUUGCUAAGACCGAUGUGAAAUCCCCGGGCUCAACCUGGGAACUGCAUUGGUGACUGGCAGGCUAGAGUAUGGCAGAGGGGGGUAGAAUUCCACGUGUAGCAGUGAAAUGCGUAGAGAUGUGGAGGAACACCGAUGGCGAAGGCAGCCCCCUGGGCUAACACUGACGCUCAGGCACGAAAGCGUGGGGAGCAA
rnacentral:rRNA from 1 species